rnacentral:rRNA from 1 species
CCUACGGGGGGCUGCAGUAACGAAUCUUCCGCAAUGCACGAAAGUGUGACGGAGCGACGCCGCGUGUAGGACGAAGCCCUUCGGGGUGUAAACUACUGUCAGGGGUUAGAAAGUUCUGAUCAACCCCAGAGGAAGGCACGGCUAACUCUGUGCCAGCAGCCGCGGUAAGACAGAGGUGCCAAGCGUUAGGCGGAAUCACUGGGCUUAAAGCGUGUGUAGGCGGACGGCUAAGUGUCUUGUGAAAUCCCACGGCUCAACCGUGGAACUGCUUGACAUACUGGUCGUCUUGAGCAGCCUAGGGGCGAGCGGAACAAACGGUGGAGCGGUGAAAUGCGUAGAUAUCGUUUGGAACGCCAAUGGUGAAAACAGCUCGCUGGGGGCUCGCUGACGCUGAGACACGAAAGCCAGGGGAGCAAACGGGAUUAGAUACCCUAGUAGUC